UCCCAAUAAAUCAAGACCCAAGAGGGUGGAUCUCUUUCUUAACUAGAAACGAGCAGAAUCAGACACUGAAAAAGGUCCACGGUAGGGAAUUCAACAGACCAUUAUCGAAGUGUUACCCUGUGUUCUAUCUUCAGGGACCUCCUGCCUGCCGUUUGUUUCAGCUUUGUGUAAGAUAACAGAAGAAAAACUGUAUUGAGGCCAUCUGUACAGCAGCAUUGAAAACAGGAAAAUAUGAACAUUCUAGAUUGUGAGCCAGACGGAAAGGAGACAUGAGGGCGGAGCUAUGGAUUGAUCACAGACUAUAAACUGCUUAGUGUGGCAGUAAUGCCAGUUUUUCCACUUACAGGUUUUUCCCCUGUUUACAGGGAAAAUUGGCUAUGAUUACAUGUAGUGUUUCUACUUUCUGGCAUUAUUUUCUGAGUACAGGGAUAUAUAAUUCUGAUACUUUGCUUUGAGGCUAUGGUAAGUCAGAUGUCUGGAAUGAUGGAAACAGAUAAUGCAACUCUGUAUUUGUAACUGUUACUUUCUGUAGUGUAACUCUAUGUACCAGUCCUUUGCCUGCUUUAUCAUUUGCUUGUUACCCGGACCAGCAUAUUUUUUCGGGGGUAUAUGCCAUUUUUCUUAGACCACUCCGUGUACCAGUAUCUGUCUGUUGACUACCAUCCAGCCUAUGGCAGUAGAAA